UUAAGUGUUCUUUUUUAAUGGGAGUUGUAGAGCAUUAUAAAAAUUUUAGGAUUUUUUGUUUAAUAAUUAGUCCUAUAUGAUACUUAUUAUAAUAUUUUUAGAAAUAUUUAUAGACAGGGAUUAGAUACCCCUUUAUAUAUUUAAAUAUUUUUUUAAUCUCAGUGAUAACUGAAAGAAAUUGGCAGUUAAUUAUUUCCUUCUAGGGGAUUGUGUUUUUUAAACAGAUGGUCCACUAAAUGAUUUUUCUUUUAUUUUAAUUGUUGGUGUAUAUCCGGUUUUGAUAAAAAAUUAAUGUUUUUUAUUUAAAUUUUGUUUUAACCCAGGUCGAUAUGCUGCUUAUUAAAAGGUAGUUAAUGCAAUACAUUAAAAAUUGAUUAAAUUUAAGUUUUAAUUAAUUAAGGACUUAGAAGUAAUAUAGAAUAGUAAUGUUUAUGUGAAGUUUAGGUUUAAUUAAGGUACACAUUGCCCGUCAUUUUCGGUUUUUAGCU
rnacentral:rRNA from 1 species